AUAUACUGUAUAUUUCAAAUAUAAUAAUACAUUUAUUGAUGUCUUUGUUUUUGGCUGUAAAAGUUAAAUAUCCCCAUUGACCAAAAAGUAAACCUCCAUAUUGACUGACCACCUGUAUCUUAUCUGUAUAAAAUGGUUUGGUCCUGCCUUAGCGCACUCAGUGUCACGGUGUUUAGUUGCAGUCAAUAGAUGCGCCAGAACUACAGUGACAGCAAUGUUGCCAAAUAAUGUUAAAUCAAAAUCUGGUUUUAAAGAAAGGAAAGAGAAAAGAGAGAGAGAGGAAAGACAAAGGAAAAAAGGUGGGUAGAAGUCUGUG